AGCCUAGAUCUAUUGGUCAAACGGUUAGAGUAUCCCAGUGUUCCUUCAAUCAUAGUUGGCGCACACUUGAAGUCAUAAUGAAACUACAUGGUCUAGAUACAAUCCAACCUACACACAUAAUAGCUGACCCAGAACUUCAUAUCAUAAGCUUGACGAAAUUGCAAUGCAAAAAUUCGGGGUUGGACUACAGUUAUGAGCCAGGAAACCGUACUUGAGACCAUACCUGACCAUGCAAUCCCGUAAAGCUGAACCAAUAAGGAGUUGCUGUGUAAGAACUCUUCUUUGUCCUGACCACUUUGUUAUAGGAACAUUAUACUGUAUUCAAGGGUUGGACUACAGUUAUGAACCAGGAAACCGUACUUGAGAUCUUACCUGACCAUGCAAUCCCGUAAAGCUGAACCAAUAAGGAGUUGCUGUGUAGGAACUCUUCUUUGUCCUGACCACUUUGUUAUAGGAACAUUAUACUGUAUUCAAUUAAAAGAAGAAAUAAUUUCUCUGGAAAAAUGCUGUUGAUGGCCUUUACCCCAAACACCUUCACCACCUGCCCGUCUAGAGUUCAAAGCAUUGUACAGAAAAGAGUGUGAUCUACUGAUGAACCAGUCCACUUUGAGUACAUUGUGAUUACCCUUCUAGUGUGUUGAUGUCUACCUAGUCAUUGUUUAUGACAAUUGCCAACCAUUAGGACACGGCCAAUUCCAUUAAUGUUGAUGAUUAAUAUUGUUAAUGUGUCAUAAAAUUCACUCACAAUAUUUGUGCUCAUUUAGUUAUAUACUAGCUUAAUAUAAGUCUGAUUUAAAAUGUAAUUUAUGCAUCUAGCUUAAACACAGCUGCUCUAUUAAGUUUGUUAAGAAUGUAUGUCUGACCUUAUAAAAAUUACUGUUCAGCAAUUGCUUCUUUACUUAGGUAAUAUUUCCACUAGUUUCACUUUAGUCAUAUUGUCUCUAACAUCCAGUCUUUUAAAUACAGAAUGUAUUGGCCUUAAGACACUGCUGUUCCUUCUUUUAGUUUAUAAUUGUUAAUAAUUGUUUUGAAAUGUA